rnacentral:rRNA from 1 species
ACAUGCAAGUCGAGGGGUAACAGGGGGUGCUUGCACUCUGCUGACGACCGGCGCACGGGUGCGUAACGCGUAUGCAACCUACCUUCUACAGGGGGAUAGCCCAGAGAAAUUUGGAAUAAUACCCCAUACGAUCUUUACUUGGCAUCGAGUAAAGAAGAAAACUUCGGUGGUAGAAGAUGGGCAUGCGUCCUAUUAGUUAGUUGGUGAGGUAACGGCUCACCAAGACAUCGAUAGGUAGGGGCCCUGAGAGGGGGAUCCCCCACACUGGUACUGAGACACGGACCAGACUCCUACGGGAGGCAGCAGUGAGGAAUAUUGGACAAUGGAGGCAACUCUGAUCCAGCCAUGCCGCGUGCAGGAAGACUGCCCUAUGGGUUGUAAACUGCUUUUAUACAGGAAGAAACUGCGCUACGUGUAGCGUACUGACGGUACUGUAAGAAUAAGGAUCGG